rnacentral:rRNA from 1 species
CCUACGGGUGGCAGCAGUGGGGGAUAUUGCACAAUGGGCGAAAGCCUGAUGCAGCGACGCAGCGUGAAUGAUGAAGGCCUUCGGUAUGUAAAGCUCUAUUAGCAGGGAAGAAAAUUACAGUAUGUAACCUAUUUGCCACGGACAACUACUUGUCAGCAGGCGUGGGAAUACGUAGGGGGCAAGGGUUCUCCGGAUUUACUGGGGGUAAAGUGAGCGUAGACGGUUAUGUAAGGCUGGAGUGAAAGCCCGGGGACCAAACCCAGGAUUGCUUUGGAGACUGUGAAACUGGAGUACAGGAGUGGCAGGCGGAAUUCCUGGUGUAGCGGUGAAAUGCGUAGAUAUAAGGAAGAACACCGACGGCGAAGGCAGCCUGCUGGACUGAAACUGACGCUGAGGCUCGAAAGCGUGGGGAGCAAACAGGAUUAGAUACCCGGGUAGUC